UGACUCCAGAAGAGAAUAUUGCUGUAUGGAGCUGGGUUAAUGCAGAGCUGGGUAUUGUAACAGUGUUUGUGUUUUAGGCGGAGUUGAGUACAUUAACAGUAAUGUUUGUGUUUAAGGCACAGCUGAGUAUAUUAACAUUCUUGUUUGUGUUUAAGACAGAGCUGAGUCAAUUAUUGGUCCCAUAGUGGGGGGCAUUCUGGGGAGUCUCGUCGGUGUCCUGCUCAUCUGUGCUGGAAUCGUCAUCUUUCUGAAGCGUCACAAGACGAAGGACUCACCGGAAGUUGUUGAAGAGAGACAUAUGGCGUCAAUCAGAGAAAAUGCCGAGCGGGUCCGAAGUUUCCCGACAGAUACCGACCACACACCAGACCCAAUUGCCAGUCAAGCACGAAACUACGAGUUUCUCCACCAGUCCCGUGCUGUGGCACCACGUGAUCAGACGUACGACCAAUUACAAGUGCCCGUCGUGGGAAGAAACAACACGUACGAGAAUACUGAAUUGCCUGGUACAACUACGAGAACGACCAACGAUACAAACAGAGAUGACUACGAGACUCUCAAUCAAACACAGUUCCGCCCUGAGGGGUCACGUGAUCAGACCUAUGACCAAUUAGAAAUGCCCAUCAGAAGAAGAAACGACAUGUACGAGAAUACCCAGGUGUCUGUUUCAAGGGUGAGAACGACCAACGGUUCAAGCUACGAGAAUGUGGACCCGUAGCUCAGGUUUGUACUGCAUCAGGAAAGGAGACCUUCAGUGUAUUUACUGGGCUACUUUGUAACUUGCCAGAAUUAUAGAUUAUCGAAUGAAAACGGGCUUCCGUGGACUGAUUCCAUUUCUGCGUGACGACGAAUCGAGUGACCCCCACGGUUACGUUGGUAAUGCCGAGGUGUAAUAUGAGCAUUGCUAAUGGUGACGUGCAGUAUAAAAAUGUGCUACAAAGUUUAAAGAGAGACAAAUGUGGGAGGCAUGAAACAGAUAGUCAAACGUGGACGGGGUGUAAUACAUAGACAAACGUGGAAUGCAUAAACAGAGAGGCAAACGUGGAAGGCAUAUAACAGAUAGGCAAACAUGGAAGGCAUAUAACAGAUAGGCAAACGUGGAAGGUGUGUAAUACAUAGGCAAACGUAGAAGGUGUGUAAUUCAUAGACAAACGUGGAAGGCAUGAAACAGAUAGACAAUCGUGGAAGGCAUGGGGAAAAAAGGAUAGACGUGAAGGUGUGUAAUACAUAGAUAAAUGUUGAAGGCAUAUAAAGGAGAAGCAAGAGUGAAAGGUGUAUAACAGAUAGGCAAACGGGGAAGGUGUAUCUUAGAUAUACCACACUUGUAGUGUUAUCUGCCAUCUAAUUAAACCCCAACCGUCAGUGUUUUCUGAUAUCUGAUUAUACCUCAGUCGUCAGUCUUAUCUUCUAGGUGAUUACCCUACAGCUGUCCGUCUUAUCUGCUAUCUGAUUAUACCACAGCUGUCCGUCUUAUCUGCUAUCUUAUUAUACUACAGCUGUCAUUCUUUUCUCCUAUCUGAUUACCUCGACUGUUACCUUCUAUCUGAUUAUACGGCAGUGGUCACUGUUAUCUUCUAUCUGAUCAUACCACAGUGGUCACUGUUAUCUGCUGUCUGCUAUCUAAUUAUUCCAAAUAAUUAUGCCAUUUAAGGUGAGUAAUUCUGUUUACUUCUCAACCAUUAACGCGAUAUUAAUGUGUCUUUGCCUUAUUAUGAUAAAUGGUUUGGAUUAAACAGAAACAUUGACCUAUGUGUGAAUGACAUCAUUUAAUACCUUCUGUGCCACAUAUGGAUUUCGAUCACUUGUCAUACAGUGUUAUCUACUACCUGGUUAUACCACACUUAGACAUACAAACUCAUACAGAAGCAUACGGAGCCGCUAAACCAUACAAAAUCAUACAGAGGCCUGUGGAGCCUCUAAACCAUACACCUAUACAGAGGCGUGUGGAGCCUCUA